CAAUAGAGUAAUAGCAAGAUGAACAACAUAGUAAACGAAAUCGAAGCAAAUACUCAAUACUAAAUAGAUUAAGAGAAAUCCGGAUUACAAAAACGUCUAGAACACAAUGUCUGCGGAAUAAAACUU
rnacentral:sRNA from 1 species